UGUCAGUCCUCUGAAGAAGCACAAAACCACGAGUAGCAAAUAACGCUGCAUCGUACAAGUCACCUGUGAGGAUGGCAGUCGUAAACUGGAAGGUACAGAAAAUGAAAAUACCCUGCUCAAGGUUAGCAGCGAGAGUCUCCCAUCGCUUCUCAUAGUUGCAGCAUCCGGUGGAGUCAGGGCACAUCUCUCUGCUCCUCUGAAGCAGGAGUGGAUGAGGCUGCCCACACUACGCAUCCCUGCCCAAAAGCUGAGUCUUACCAGCUUGAUCCUGAUGUAAAGGAAGCAAGACUGAGAUGUGGCAACCUCUGGGCUUCGAAGUCAGGUUUCAGAGCGG